UCUGCCCUAUGAUUUAGAAAAUUAAAUGGCUGCAGUAAAUUGACUGUACAAAGGUAGCAUAAUCAAUAGUCUUUUAAUUGAAGACUUGAAUGAAAGAUUGGAUGAAAUAUAGACUGUUUCUAUUUUAUAAAUUGAAUUUAAUUUUUUAGUUAAAAAGCUAAAAUAUUUUUAAAAGACGAGAAGACCCUAUAGAGUUUGAAUUAUGAAUUAAUUUAAUUGAAAUUAAUUUUAAAUUUUGUUGGGGUGAUAGAAAAAUUUAAAAAACUUUUUUUUUAGUUUAACAUAAAUAAUAGAAUUUUUGAUCCAUUAUAAUGAUUAAAAGAAUAAAUUACCUUAGGGAUAACAGCGUAAUUUUUUUUUUUAGAACUUAUAGAAAAAAUAGUUUGCGACCUCGAUGUUGGAUUAAGAUAAAAUUUAAAUGCAGAAGUUUAUAAUUUUGAUCUGUUCGAUCAUUAAAAUCUUACGUGAU
rnacentral:rRNA from 1 species